UACGUAGGGUCCAAGCGUUGUCCGGAUUUAUUGGGCGUAAAGAGCUCGUAGGCGGUUCGGUAAGUCGGAUGUGAAAACUCAGGGCUCAACCCGGAGACGCCAUCCGAUACUGCUGUGACUUGAGUCUGGUAGGGGAACACGGAAUACCUGGUGUAGCGGUGAAAUGCGCAGAUAUCAGGAGGAACACCGGUGGCGAAGGCGGUUCUCUGGGACGGUACUGACGCUGAGACGCGAAAGCGUGGGGAGCGAACAGG
rnacentral:rRNA from 1 species